rnacentral:rRNA from 1 species
CACGUAGGGGGCAAGCGUUGUCCGGAUUUAUUGGGCGUAAAGAGCUCGUAGGCGGUUCGGUAAGUCAGGUGUGAAACCUCCAGGCUCAACCUGGAGACGCCACCUGAUACUGCUGUGACUCGAGUCCGGUAGGGGAGCGUGGAAUUCCUGGUGUAGCGGGUGAAAUGCGCAGAUAUCAGGAGGAACACCAGCGGCGAAGGCGGCGCUCUGGGCCGGAACUGACGCUGAGGAGCGAAAGCGUGGGUAGCAAACAGG